rnacentral:tRNA from 1 species
CAUAUAAAAGCAUAUAAUGCAUCUAACUGUUAAUUAGAAGAAAUAAAUUAUUUAUAUGA